AACUAGCCCCGAUAAAAGCGGCAUCCUUUUCUUGUUCUCGUUUUUUAACGAGGACAAGAAAAGAUAUAGCGGAUAGCGGGAAAUAGC
rnacentral:sRNA from 1 species